GUUAGAACGCUCGUAGUCAGAUUUCGGGGCGGGCCGACCGGUCUGCCGAUGGGUAUGCACUGGUCGGCGCGUCCUUCCUUCCGGAGACCGUCCCUACUCUUAACUGAGCGGGGGCGGGAGACGGGACUUUUACUUUGAAAAAAUCAGAGUGUUUCAAGCAGGCAGCUCGCUCUUGCAUGGAUUAGCAUGGGAUAAUGAAAUAGGACUUUGGUGCUAUUUUGUUGGUUUCGAACACCGAAGUAAUGAUGAGAAGGGACAGUCAGGGGCACUCGUAUUCCGCCGAGAGAGGUGAAAUUCUCAGACCAGCGGAAGACGAACCACUGCGAAAGCAUUUGCCAGGGAUGUUUUCACUGAUCAAGAACGAAAGUUAGGGGAUCGAAGACGAUCAGAUACCGUCGUAGUCUUAACCAUAAACCAUGCCGACUAGGGAUCGGAGGAUGUUCACAUAUUGACUCCUUCGGCACCUUACGGGAAACUAAAGUCUUUGGGUUCCGGGGGGAGUAUGGUCGCAAGGCUGAAACUUAAAGGAAUUGACGGAAGGGCACCACCAGGUGUGGAGCCUGCGGCUUAAUUUGACUCAACACGGGGAAACUUACCAGGUCCAGACAUUGUGAGGAUUGACAGAUUGAGAGCUCUUUCUUGAUUCGAUGGGUGGUGGUGCAUGGCCGUUCUUAGUUGGUGGAGUGAUUUGUCUGGUUAAUUCCGUUAACGAACGAGACCUUAGCCUGCUAAAUAGUGACGCGAACACUUCGUUCGCGGCCACUUCUUAGAGGGACAACUUGUCUUCAACAAGUG
rnacentral:rRNA from 1 species